rnacentral:rRNA from 1 species
UACGUAGGGUGCAAGCGUUAAUCGGAAUUACUGGGCGUAAAGCGUGCGCAGGCGGUGAUGCAAGACAGAUGUGAAAUCCCCGGGCUCAACCUGGGAACUGCGUUUGUGACUGCAUCGCUGGAGUGCGGCAGAGGGGGAUGGAAUUCCGCGUGUAGCAGUGAAAUGCGUAGAUAUGCGGAGGAACACCGAUGGCGAAGGCAAUCCCCUGGGCCUGCACUGACGCUCAUGCACGAAAGCGUGGGGAGCAAACAGG